GGCCAGGUAGCUCAGUCGGUAGAGCAGAGGACUGAAAAUCCUUGUGUCGGCAGUUCGAUUCUGCCCCAGGCCACCA
rnacentral:tRNA from 1 species